UUCCGUUUAACGGCUGCCCCGCGCGCAAGGCCCGGUCGGUACGUGUGGAGUUCGGGCUGCGUGAGGUAAACGGGGUCGUGAAGCGCCUCUUUGCGGUCCCGUGGCCCCGCUGCAGUCCUGUGUGGGAGGUCCACCCCUGGCUGCUGCCGCUGCCUUGGGCUGCUGGAGGCCGCUGCCGCGGUCCGGCCGUCGUCAGCCGUCCCCUCAGCAUCUGCGGCCGCCAGCGCCUGGGGACGCCUCGGGGCCUCGCGGUGCUUGGGCCUCGCCCGUGGAGGGGCCGUCUCGGAGAGCUGCGUAGCUGGGGCCGCGGCCCACAGCGCUGGAGGCUGCCCAGUACCACACAUGGGAGGUGAGGAGGAAGAAAUGACAAUGGGAGAGCUUGGGCCUCAACCAGAAAAAAACAUAUUCUUCACCACAGAGCAGGUGAACUGCCAUGGCUGCAAGUCCAUCUUAAAGGCAAAAGAAAAUGUUUAUCCAAGGUGAUGAGCACAAGAUCCAAGCUACUUCUGCCUCCUCAGCAAAGCGCCAUUUCCUGUGGCAGGGAGGGUGGCAGCUGCUCUUACUGACUGUCCUCCUGAAAGCAGCAAGCAUGAUUGACUGCUGCUAUAUUGGGCAGUAUAAAGAAUUAAGGGGAUCAAUCACUGGGACAGUUUCUGUGCCUGGGUGCCAGGAGCGAUGCCAAGAUGCUCUCUGAUGUCAACUCAACAUGCUGCACCUCAAUGAAAGUGAAUGUGACUUGAACCGAACAAAGCCCUCUGGCUCUGGGGGAUGGGGUGGCCACAACGCUGAGCCAUCCAGAGGAAAUACCUGAUUUUGGGAUUGCCUAAAAUCAAGCUGCAAUUGCAUCCCAUGGGGGAUGUCAAACAUCGCUGGAGGAGAAGUAUUAAGCCUGGAAACACAUUGCCAGCCUGACUGUGGUUCAUACAGAGUGCAGCUGUGAGCAGUUGAAGCAGCCACUGCCCAGCCCUAGCCAGUGGUGCAGGAAGCAACAAUGUGAAUCUCUGCUUGAGCAGAACCAUCACACCCUGCAGGAGCACCAGCAAGUGUAUCGAGUGGGCAGAGACCUGAGCCCCAGCUGUUUGCUUUAGGCACAGGACCUGUAAUGGAGCCUCCCAUAAGAAUGCUGCAGCACUCUCACCUUCCUGCCCAACCAGCUGCAUAUGUCCAAUUGCAUCGUUAGUGGCACCGAUGGAUCUGCAGUGCAAUGUGUGUCCCACCGCAUGUUUUUGUGCUGGCAUUGUUACCAUGAACAGUAACCUGUAGGACCAAGAAAAAGCACCGGGAGGUCCAAGUGACUGACAGACCAGAUGAUGUCCCCAGCAGCGGGUACAAGGAGUUGGUGUUUCUAACAGCACAAGCACCUCCUUGGCCAAAGCCCAUUAUCAUGACAGCAAUGGGCAGUGAUGCAGCAUCCCCCAACUGUGUUGGCCAGUGGAUUCCCAAGCAGUGAGAGAAACCGAGAAGUGAGGAGCAGGUGCUGGGCCUCAACCAGAGCCCAAAAAAGCCAAGGGUCACCUCAUCACAGCUACCAACCCCCACAUGAACCUGCCCCAGCAGGGGUUGUGUUUCUGUCACUCAGAAUGUCAAGUGCCACCCUUUCACUGUGGUUGUCUUUCUUCUGCCAUGAAAGUACAAGAUGAAUGGAAAGAAUCUGUAGUGGUCUGCGAUUACAAGAUCUCAUAUUUCAAGCACCUCGUGAUGCUCAAUAAGAUACCCUGCAGCCCAGGUUUGCCUGCUGGUUUUUAAGCACGCUGAUGGUAAGGGGCCAGCCCUGUGGCCAGAGGCUCCUGGCUCUGUUUCCAGUGUGUGCCCCACAGCAAGGGCUGUCUGAUGCAGAGUCUGGGGCUGACAGGGACUGGGGGCAUUUGUUCUCCUGGGGAGCCUGUCCCACUGUGGAAAUGGAGUGCGAAUGUCACGGUGCAGAGCCUGAGUGAGGCACCAUCCUAGGGUACACUGCCCCUGUGCCAUGGGACAGCCACCAGCUUGUGAGAUGGGGGCUGGGGGGGCUGCAAUCGUUUUGGGAGCUGCGCCCCCCUUUAUUUUUCUGGCAGAGCCCCUGCGGGGCGGGGGGUGGGGUGACGUUUACAUACGUAAAUAGCAUUAUUAAAGUAACAAGAGUAACAAGCUGCUGGUCAGGACAGUGUUCCUCAUUUUGUGCCUUUUUUGGGGUGUGAAUGAAAGGGGAUGGGUUCUUGGGGGGUGACAAUGUCAUUUGGGGCACCCCAGUGUCACUGGAGGGAUGACAAUGUGGCGUAGGAGCAGCGGAAUAAGGGAUGUGGGGGGAGGGGUCACAGGGUGGGAUCCCCUUUGUGGGACAGCCCAAAAAUGCCGAAAAUUCAGAGGGGGGUGGCCACCAAAAAAAUUAAAAACUGUAAAUAGGGGUGUAAGACAUUGAAAUAGAGAAAACUUUUCAUUUUUAUAUAUUGAAAAAUAAUAUAUGUGAAAGGAUUUCAAAACAAAAACCUGUAUCUGCUAUAUUAUACAAAGGAUUUUAGAAUAUAAAAAAGUAGAGAUGUAAAGGCUUUUAAAAUACAAAAAAUAACUGUAUAUAUAAAUUAAGAAAUAAAAGUCUUUAAAAUGCAAAAAAAAACCCCUAUAUAUAUAUGAAGGAAUUUAAAAUAGAAAAAAGUUUGAAUAGACCUAAGUAAAUACUGUAUGUCAUCUAAAUAGAGAUUAUAUAUAAUUUUAAACAGGUAACUAAGUCUAAAGAGAUGUAAUUGCAAGUAGAUAUCUAAGUCUAGAGAAGUCUAAAAAGAUACUAGUGUCAAAAUGUACGUCCAAACAGAUAGCUAGUCUAAACAGAUGUUCUGUAUUGUAAGUAGACAUCAUGUAAGUAGUCAUAGUCUUAACAGAUAUUCAAGUGUAAACAUAUAUAUUAAAUAGGUAUUUUCUGUGAAAUAUAUGUGUAAAUAAAUAGAUAUUUAAGUGUAACUGCCUACCCUAUAUUUUUAAAAUGCAAAGAAACCCUGUUUAUAGAAAGGAUGUAAAAACUUCUCUAAAUAUCUAUCUAUUGAAGAUACAAAAUUGCAAAAGUGCUUUCAAAAGCUGCCCCUUCUGCAUUCUCCUUUUUCCCCUUUUCCCAUCCCGAUUUGGGGCCUAUUCCCCUAAGUGUGGACUUUCCUCUGUGGGGCAAUGCAUGGCACAGAAAUACCCUAAACCCCCUGAUUCUGGGUCUGUGAUGGGGGGUGGGCAGGAAUUGGGGCGAGGGGGAGAGGAAAUACCAUUCUGAGGUUUCCAGGAAAGCUAAAUCCACCUGGAUUUGUGCAGCUGAAAAGCAAAAACCCCAACAAACUACCCCCUUUUUCAUGCACAAAACCAAAAGCAAAAUCACCAAUUUUUAUGUUGUAGAAAGGUGCCAGAAAACCCCAAUUUUUUUAUUUGUAAAAGCAAAAAACCUUAAUUUUUAUAUUGUGGAAAAGUGAAAAAAAGCCAGUUUGGGGAAAAUGCAGGGUAAAUGCUGGCAGUUUGAGGGGCAUCACUGGGGAUUAUCUGGUGUGUGUCAGUCAUCCAGAGUGGAUUAUCCAGUUGUGGGUUAUCCUAGGUGAGUUAUCUGCUGUGGAUUAUCCCGGGUGGACCCCCUGGUGCAGGUCAUCCCCACAUAUGUCCCACCGUUCAUCUUUCUACCCACACAGACCCCCCUGUCUGUAUGUGUCCAUUAACUUCUGCUUCGUUUCUGUUUACUUCCUUGUCCCCCUCUGGUGUGUCCUUCCUCCCCCCCAAGUGCCUCCACCAAAGUGUCCCCCCAUGGGAGGUUUUCCUGUGACACACCCCCCUCAUCCUCGGUCCUCUCUUAAGUCCGUUCUUCCCCCCCUCCCCCCCUUCGCGUGUAUUCGGCACCCUCCCCCCAUAACCCCUCUGCUUUUGGCCCCCAGGGUACUCGCUGCGGCCUCUCACCUGCCCAUUGUCCCCCACCCACUUCCCUUCACCCCACUCCCAUUCCAGUCUCCUGCUAUGUACUGGAUUUGUGCUGGAAACGGUGUUGAUAACCCGGGGAUGAGCAGCGCCUUUGCGCAGCACCGAGGCCAUUCGAGCUCCUCACACCAUCCCGCCUGAGAGCAGGCUGGGGCGCACAGCAAGUCGGGACAGCUGAUCUCAACUGACCAAAGGGAUAUUCCAAACUAUACAAUAUCAUAUCAGUCGUAAAUACCAGUUCAGUCAUAAAACUGGGGGGAGAGAUUGGCAGAGGGGGUGCUGCUCAGGGACUGGCUGGGCAUCGGUCAGUGGGUUGUGAGCAACUGUGUUCAUUUUUAUGGCUUGUCUUUCUUGGGUUUUAGUUUUCUCUCGUUACUUUUUUUCCUUCUUCUUUUCAAGUCGUUGUUGGUUGUGGUUAUUGAAGUGUUUUUAUCUCAGCCCAUGAGUUUUUUCACUUUUACCUUUCUGAUUGACUCCCCCAUCCCACCAGCGGGCGGGAAGUAAGCAAGUGGUUGUGUGCUGCGUAGUUGAUGGCUGGGAUUAAACCACAGCCUGAAGUUAGUUGCAAGCCCUGCCUUGCUAAUGCUUUAGGCUCUCUGUGUUAUUCCUGCCAUCUCGAUAGGCCAUCCUUGUUUUUCAUCACUGCUUUAUAGCGCCUUUUGCUCCGUAGGCAGCAGUGCUUGGGCUGUGCAAGCAUACCUGUCUCCCAGCAGUUUCUGCAACAACCAUGCUGUCCGGCCUAGCCAGACUUGCAAGGCAGAAUCACUGUAGGUUGUGCCGUGGCUGUUUCACUCUUCGGCUUUGGCAGCUUACUUCCCAGAGGCUGGGAGAAGGGAACCGUGGUCAGGUUUUAGCAGAAGAAGGUGUCGGUUGCAGGCAGACAUGUAUCGCUGUGCACAGCUGUUUGGCAGGUGUCUUGCUUGGUGAAGUAGAGGUGUAUUUCUUGCCUUGCAACUCUUGAUGCCAAAACAAUCAAGGGUUCAAGUUACAAAAGCCUUUUGACAUCCAGGUUGACAGAUUUCUACCAGCACUGUGUUUCAGCUGUGUUGCCAGCUGAAAAUGGCUUGCCGGCCAGAAGAUACUUAUUGGGUAUAGAGGUGAUUGUUUUAUGGAGGCAGAUUAGGCAGCCAAAGGAACCGAGCUGCCUGCCUGAUACACUGGCAGAAGAGCCCAUCUGGACUACCAAGUAUUGCAUGUUGCAGGCAGUGAAGUGCAAGUGGCAAAGCUUGGUGGCAGGAGCAGGAAGGAGUGCAGAGCCAAGAUGGAACCUCCAGAGCUCUGUGGUUGUCUGCUGAGGACAUCUAAUAUACCAACAUGCCUCUGCUUUCCCUGCUUCAUGUCUAAUUACU